GUGCCCACAGAGAGGGCUCUGAGUGCCACCUCUGGCACCCGUGCCAUAGGUUUGCCACCACUGGCCUAGGAGAAUUGGUGGAACUGGGUUACUAAAGCAACACGAACAGGGGGAGAAGGCCGGAUCAUCCGUGGGUUGUUUUUGAAGCCACAAAAAUAGACUUACCGUUAUAAUAAAGCAAAACUUCUUCCUGGACCCUCCUCUUUGCUAAGUCAACUUGAGACUGAAAGGGCAGAGGAGGAGGUUUGGGUAGGCAGUUACCUUUAUCAGUCCAAAAAUGACAGAAGUGUGAAUAGCCCAGAAUUACACCGCUCUUAUUUGUGUGAAAUGUGCUAUUUUUCCCCCCUUGCAACAAUGUGCCCCUCACAAAGCAUGACUGCUGUUACCGGUGUUUCUCAAAAUGUCAUGUGUUAGAAAAGCAAAGGUGGAUUGUGGCGAGGAGGGGGAACUUUUGUACCACCAGCCUUAGACUUUCCUGCGGUUUCAAAACACUCUAAUAAAAAAAUCUGAAAUGUU